AUGCGGCGGGCUCGGGGCGCGGCGCUGCCGGCGCUGGCCGCGCUGAUCAUCGUGGCUGCUGUCAAAGCCCAAGUGGAGCAGGAGCCAUUCCUGGAGACCGUUGAAGGCACCGGCAUCAGUAUCAAGUGCUCUCACCCCAAUAUCCAGAGGGGCGAUUUCAUUCACUGGUACCGUCAGCUGCCGGGCAAAGGGCCCGAACUCGUGGUCAUGACUGUGCAAGCGUCCAAGGAGGUGCGAUCCCCUGAAGGGCGCCUGACGGUGUCGGCAGAUCGGCGUCGGAGCGCGCUGUGGCUCGGGCGGCCCCGGCGCGGGGACGCGGCCGUGUAUUACUGCGCGGUGGGGGCCACGGGCAGAGGAGCCGGGGCUGCGGCCGGGCACGAACCGCCGCGGGCGGGGCCGGGCGGGGCCAGCAGGGGGCGCUGCCGCUCCGCCCGCCGCGCUCCCGCGGUUCCGAUCUGCAAAGGACCCGGCCACCCUCACCUUCCCCCUGACAGGCAUUGA